rnacentral:siRNA from 1 species
UGAAGUAGUUUCAGGAUGGGU